rnacentral:rRNA from 1 species
UACAGGGGGGGCAAGCGUUGUUCGGAAUUACUGGGCGUAAAGGGCUCGUAGGUGGCCAACUAAGUCAGACGUGAAAUCCCUCAGCUUAACUGGGGAACUGCGUCUGAUACUGGAUGGCUUGAGUUUGGGAGAGGGAUGCGGAAUUCCAGGUGUAGCGGUGAAAUGCGUAGAUAUCAAGAGGAACACCUGAGGUGAAGACGGGUUGCUGGGCCGACACUGACGCUGAAGCGCGAAAGCCAGGGGAGCAAACGGG